CCCUUAGAUGUCCUGGGCCGCACGCGCGCUACACUGAUGCAUUCAACGAGUACUGUUCCUUGACCGAGAGGUCUGGGUAAUCUUGUUAACGUGCAUCGUGAUAGGGAUAGAUUAUUGCAAUUAUUAAUCUUGAACGAGGAAUUCCUAGUAAACGCGGAUCAUCAAUCCGCAUUGAUUACGUCCCUGCCCUUUGUACACACCGCCCGUCGCACCUACCGAUUGAAUGGUCCGGUGAAGCCUCGGGAUUGUGACCGGUUCGCUUUAUUGUGAGUUGGUUGCGAGAACUUGUCUAAACCUUAUCAUUUAGAGGAAGGUGAAGUCGUAACA
rnacentral:rRNA from 1 species